rnacentral:sRNA from 1 species
AAAAGUACCAAUGUGUGUUGUGAUCGC